UGUAUCUUGCUUCUUCCUCCAUGUCCCACGGUGGGACUCCCACCUCCACGCUCUCCCUACCAAACAACAAUGGAAGCUAUGUCUCUGAAGCUCUUGGUCUUUAUUGUUAUCGAUGAUAAAUAACCAAUUCUGAAGAAAGUCCACCACCUUAACUAUGAAGAGUAUAAGGAUGGUGUACAUCUUGAUUACUUGCAUUGUGGAGGAUUCUUUUUGGGGGCAGGACUGGCUCAUGCAAAAGGAAAACUCUAUUGUUAACAAGGAGUGAAUCCACACGAAAUUUUAGACAGCCAAACUCACAGCUUUGCCAACUGAAUUUAUUUUGUUAUUCCAUCUUCGAUAAGGGAUCCAAUGCUCACUCAUUGCAUGCUUAAUUCGAGAAUGGGAGGAAACAGGUACCAAUUUGUUUUGUGUUUUUAUAUUCUUUGCUCAAGCAAAAUUAAUUCAUUUGUAAAAUAGUACCUCAGAUGUUUUGUACAGAAUUGUAUAAAAGUGAAGACAAUGAGUAAUU